GCUCACCUCCCUGAUGCUGCACAUACAGUCUCUCGCCGAGAACGACCUGAAUUCGGCCGAGUUUACGUCGAUGAAUGACACGGUGAAUGAAGUGAAGCACGUGCUGGAGCCUCCCAACCAGAGAGUGUUUCAGAACCACGUCGAGAUCCACUUGAAUCACAUCGAGGCCGGUCUCAGUCAGAUGGGGAACCUGCACGCGUUCUCUGCUCAGGGACCUCUCUCAUAGCAGGAGCAAGUCCUUGCUCAGCAUGGGGCUCCAACCUGCUGCAUCGGAAAUGACUCCUCGCGCUAGGAGCCCUCGUAUCAGAGGCUCCUCUUCUUCUUUGCUGCGUGUUCUUCUGCAAUGAAAGUCCACUUCUAGCACAGCGUAAUGGUAUCGUGAUGAAGUAAUCGUCUGUAAAUUAUAUUACGACGUACGCAUACGUGUACGAAGAUGAUCAUGCGUGGAAAUUGACGAGGUUAAUGCUGAAGAAUUUCUUUUUAUAGAUUACAUUCCUAUAUAUGGUGUGUCAGCAGCUAGGUCUCCCUUUAUCGUCUUUGCAUGGUUAACUCUUUACUCUUAUCUUUCCACGGUCGACUCCUCCCCAUUACCUUUGAAUGUCAGCACUCUUCACUAUUACUUUUCCAUGGUAAACUUUACACCAUUGUCCUGGCAUGGUCAACACUUCCGUAUUACAUCUGCGCAAGUUCACUAUUACCUAUUAUCUCUGCUAUCCUCAACUCUCUUCUUUAUCUUCACGUAGGCAUCUCUUCCCGUGUUAUCACACCAAGAAAAUCCAAUAAUUAGCAACAAGUUUUUCGACGAUUUAUAAUUGUUGCCAUAUUGACUACGUAGUAGUGAAACUAUCUCUGUUAUUGUGUGUGUACUAACACCUGAUAGCAUUUACUGCUGAUAUAGCUGUAGUAUUAGCUCUGUCGCAAGGAAAUAUAUUUGAUGUCGAUCCAUAUCAGGGAGGAUUUUUCAUCGUGUCAUCAUGGUUGAAUCGUGGGGUGUGGUAGGAGAACGUCUACUCACAAAUUAUUGUAAUAUAUUGUGUAUAUAUGUAUAGGAAGCGCAGCACGGCAUGUGCUAGCUGCUGUAUGCAUACUGGCGAUAAAACCAAUGUGGAGGGCUUGUGUAGCUUCUCCAUUAAGCGACCAUUCAAGUUGACUACGAGUGUAACAGCAGCACACCAUAAUAUUUUCAUACAUCACUCGUACCUUCGCAUGUAAAGCUAUUGGCUAGGUUUAGUGUGUUGCCGUUAUUCGAGGUCUUUAAUAGUUGUAAAUCAUAAAGUAGCAAUAGUCGCAAUAAUUUGCAUUCAGAACGACUAGGAUGAGUGGAUGGUGGGAACCGGUCAGAAGUAAUGUAAAUGUGUGAGAGAUAGCGUGCAAUCAGUAGACCCAUUACAACAACCAGUUAUGACGCGAUUCUCAUUGUGGGUUGCCGAUUUCUUACGCGACGUAUGUUUUAUAUGGCCAUGGCUUCCACUCGUGUGCUUAUACUAGAAACCAUACUUGUAUAUAUGCUUCAUGCUUAAAUAACAACUCCACACAGGUACAUACAUCAAUGCCUCCUCUACUGGUACUAUUAUUGGGUCGCACUCGUACAGAUGAUAACUAAAGAAAACAUUAACGUGUGUUGCCAUAGUCACUAUUCUUAAAAUUCACUACCAAUAUGUUGCGCUUCAAAGGAUACAUUCUGCUUGUAGUUAUGAUAGUGUUGCACUAGUGUUUUGCAGAUUUUUAUGAAUGUGAUGCGGUUCUGUGUGACAGCGCAUCAUGAAAUAUACCGAGAGGAAAGCAAAAUAGCAGGCAUGGUGACUGGUGCAAUGUUGGCGAUGGCCCAACAUGGGAACUUAAGGCUUAGGCAACAAAAAACUACUGGAAUGUUGCUGCUCUCUGGUACAUGAUUUCUGGAAAUCCCAUUAGUGCUGGUUCCAUAUACUUGCUUGAAGCCAGGUUUGUACAGUUUGAUCUUAUAUAAAUAAAUCUAUAUAUAUAUAUCUAUACAACAAC
rnacentral:lncRNA from 1 species